rnacentral:rRNA from 1 species
UGGGGAAUAUUGGACAAUGGGCGCAAGCCUGAUCCAGCCAUGCCGCGUGAGUGAUGAAGGCCCUAGGGUUGUAAAGCUCUUUCACCGGUGAAGAUAAUGACGGUAACCGGAGAAGAAGCCCCGGCUAACUUCGUGCCAGCAGCCGCGGUAAUACGAAGGGGGCUAGCGUUGUUCGGAUUUACUGGGCGUAAAGCGCACGUAGGCGGACUUUUAAGUCAGGGGUGAAAUCCCGGGGCUCAACCCCGGAACUGCCUUUGAUACUGGAAGUCUUGAGGAUGGUAGAGGUGAGUGGAAUUCCGAGUGUAGAGGUGAAAUGCGUAGAUAUUCGGAGGAACACCAGUGGCGAAGGCGGCUCACUGGACCAUUACUGACGCUGAGGUGCGAAAGCGGGGGGAGCAAACAGG